AACACCUUUUCCAAAUCAUGUUACAAUUAGAGUUAUGGAGAUUGAGAAAGCUCAUCCUCCUUUAAUAGCAAAAGCCUUUUCACGAUUCCGUGCUUUGCUGUUAAAGAGUACAUUUCGGAAAUAUAGUUGGAGAUGAGUCUAUCGACCAAUGCUGGAACUAAGAGAGUUUCAAAAGAGAAAGGGAAUGAGUCUGGAAAGACGGGUCGAGAAGGGUUGCAAACUCAAAUGAAAAGUAUUCAAGCUGAAAGUGUUUCAAAAUAGAAAGAGGAAGGCCGGAAAAAAGUAACUCGCCCAAAAGAAGAGGAAUGAAGCGCUCAUUUGCGAUUGUUGGAAAAGAGAGGCAAGGCCCAAGGCACUUGCUAACGUGCAGAGAAUCAACUUCGCUACCUCCUAAAGUAGAGGAGAUAAAACGGUAGAUCGCUAGAGCACUUUCAGAUAUGGGAUACGAAAGAAAGUGUAAAAAGCAUGAGAAACAAUGAAAUAAUUUGUACACCACUGGAUAUAAAAUGCUUCGAAUUGACAACUUAAUUAUGUGAA